UGGGGAAUAUUGCACAAUGGGGGAAACCCUGAUGCAGCGACGCCGCGUGAGUGAAGAAGUAUUUCGGUAUGUAAAGCUCUAUCAGCAGGGAAGAAAAUGACGGUACCUGACUAAGAAGCCCCGGCUAACUACGUGCCAGCAGCCGCGGUAAUACGUAGGGGGCAAGCGUUAUCCGGAUUUACUGGGUGUAAAGGGAGCGUAGGUGGUUCGGUAAGUCAGAUGUGAAAGCCCGGGGCUCAACCCCGGGACUGCAUUUGAAACUAUCGUACUAGAGUGCAGGAGAGGUAAGUGGAAUUCCUAGUGUAGCGGUGAAAUGCGUAGAUAUUAGGAGGAACACCAGUGGCGAAGGCGGGUAACUGGACUGCAACUGACGCUGAGGCGCGAAAGUGUGGGGAGCAAACAGG
rnacentral:rRNA from 2 species